GACUAGCUUAAUUGAUGACAUCCAGACCCUAACUCUUGUUUGUGUGACCCAGUUAGGUUCAUUUCUAUAUGGUAAUGAGAUAUGUCGUGAUCUCAUCAUCGACAUCAUCGAAACUCCUUUCGAUGGAUCAGAACUCUUCUGAUUCAGACAAUUAGAAUGAUCGAUCAUCAAGAUCAUUCUAAUUGCUUCCAAAAUCCAC
rnacentral:lncRNA from 1 species